rnacentral:rRNA from 1 species
UACGGAGGUUGCAAGCGUUAUCCGGAAUUAUUGGGCGUAAAGCGUCCGCAGGUGGCUAUGUAAGUCUGCUGUUAAAGCGUCUAGCUCAACUAGAUAAGAGCAGUGGAAACUACAAGGCUAGAGUACGUUCGGGGCAGAGGGAAUUCCUGGUGUAGCGGUGAAAUGCGUAGAGAUCAGGAAGAACACCAGUGGCGAAGGCGCGCUGCUAGGCCGUAACUGACACUGAGGGACGAAAGCGUGGGGAGCGAACAGG